UAGGAAGGACGCCUGUAUCUUUGUAGUGACUGGGUGUAUUGAUACACCAUCCAAAGCUUAAUAACUUCACCAUGAUGAUCAAAGGGAUAUUCAGCAUCUGGAUAUUUAUUUAGAUUUUUUCUAUCAAUUGGAGACCAUUUUUGCGAGGCAUUGAAAAAACCCCCGGUCUCUGCGGUUGAGUGUGUGCUUCAAAUGAACUACUCGAUUUGAGGGGCUUUACAAUUAAUUGUAUGUGUGGGGUACAGAAAUUAGGUAGUCACUCAAAAAUGAUGUUAACCACUAUUAUUGCACACAGUGAGAGUCCAUGCCACUUAUUAUGUGAUUUGUUAAGCACACAUUUACUCCUGUCUUAUUUAGGCUGUAACAUUUAACAUUACAUUUACAUUUAAGUCAUUUAGCAGACGCUCUUAUCCAGAGCGACUUGCAAAUUGGUGCAUUCACCUUAUGACAUCCAGUGGAACAGUAACAAAGGGGUUGAAUACUUAUUGACUCAAGACAUUUCAGCUUUUCAUUGAGUGUUCUAUUAACACAUCCACUUGGCAGUGAUGGGGUGUUGUGUGUAGAUCAGUGACAAGCAAGACGAGGUUGAAAAAGUAAAAGCCUGUGCACACUUUCUGAAGGCGUUGUGUGUAUAGUGACUUUCUGAAGGCGUUGUGUGUAUAGUGACUUUCUGAAGGUGUUGUGUAUAUAUAUAAACAGUGACUUUCUGAAGGCGUUGUGUGUAUAGUGACUUUCUGAAGGUGUUGUGUAUAUAUAUAAACAGUGACUUUCUGAAGGCGUUGUGUGUAUAGUGACUUUCUGAAGGUGUUGUGUAUAUAAACAGUGACUUCCUGAAGGUGUUGUGUGUAUAAACAGUGACUUUCUGAAGGUGUUGUGUAUAUAAACAGUGACUUUCUGAAGGUGUUGUGUAUAUAUAUAAACAGUGACUUUCUGAAGGUGUUGUGUAUAUAUAUAAACAGUGGCUUUCUGAAGGAGUUGUGUGUAUAAACAGUGACUUUCUGAAGGUGUUGUGUAUAUAAACAGUGACUUUCUGAAGGUGUUGUGUAUAUAUAUAUAAACAGUGACUUUCUGAAGGUGUUGUGUGUAUAUAUAUAUAUAAACAGUGACUUUCUGAAGGUGUUGUGUAUAUAUAUAAACAGUGGCUUUCUGAAGGUGUUGUUUGUGUAUAUAUAUAAACAGUGACUUUCUGAAGGUGUUGUGUAUAUAAACAGUGGCAUAUUCUCCACCAAUGACAAAGAAGGAUAGUCUCUUCUUCCUGUAAUUCACAAACGAUUUAAUGAUUUAUUGUUCUCCAUCUUUUUCUCAUUCUUAUCUUGCUCCAUUGUGGGUUUUUUUCUUCUGUUUUCCCCCCUUCUUCCAUCAUUCCCAUUCCCAUUCCCAUCAUUCCCAUGGCUCUCGCCUUUCUGGACUUCUAACUAAAUCUGUUUUACAGCAAUAUGGAGACUGUUUCAGAAGGCAGCUCGCGGCCUCUGGUCUCUCAUCUCUGACAACCAUUUGAUGCGAGCCAGUAUAGCCUAUAUGUGGCAAAAAGCUCCUAUAAUUGUGGAAUAACAGGGCUAGAGAGGGAGAGUAUGCAUAGUCGAUACAAAGUAUAGGAAUAGCAGACAAGUGGGUUAGGAAAAGCAGAACACUAGUAGUUCAACCAUUUUCAAAGUUGGUUUUUGGGAGUAAUUUGCUUUCAACAAUAAAAAUGAUUUUUUUUAAAGCCA